rnacentral:rRNA from 1 species
AUGCAGUCGACGGUAACAGGAUUAGCUUGCUAAUUGCUGACGAGUGGCGGACGGGUGAGUAAUGCUUAGGGAUCUGCCUUUAGGAGGGGGAUAACCAUUGGAAACGAUGGCUAAUACCGCAUAAUGUCUACGGACCAAAGGGGGCUUCGGCUCUCACCUAGAGAGGAACCUAAGUGAGAUUAGCUAGUUGGUGAGGUAAAGGCUCACCAAGGCGACGAUCUCUAGCUGUUCUGAGAGGAAGAUCAGCCACACUGGAACUGAGACACGGUCCAGACUCCUACGGGAGGCAGCAGUGGGGAAUAUUGCACAAUGGGGGAAACCCUGAUGCAGCCAUGCCGCGUGUGUGAAGAAGGCCUUCGGGUUGUAAAGCACUUUCAGUUGUGAGGAAAGGUUAGUAGUUAAUACCUGCUAGCUGUGACGUUAACAACAGAAGAAGCACCGGCUAACUCCGUGCCAGCAGCCGCGGUAAUACG